rnacentral:rRNA from 1 species
GAUGAACGCUAGCUACAGGCUUAACACAUGCAAGUCGAGGGGCAGCAUUUUAGUUUGCUUGCAAACUGAAGAUGGCGACCGGCGCACGGGUGAGUAACACGUAUCCAACCUGCCGAUAACUCCGGAAUAGCCUUUCGAAAGAAAGAUUAAUACCGGAUAGCAUACGAAUAUCGCAUGAUAUUUUUAUUAAAGAAUUUCGGUUAUCGAUGGGGAUGCGUUCCAUUAGUUUGUUGGCGGGGUAACGGCCCACCAAGACUACGAUGGAUAGGGGUUCUGAGAGGAAGGUCCCCCACAUUGGAACUGAGACACGGUCCAAACUCCUACGGGAGGCAGCAGUGAGGAAUAUUGGUCAAUGGGCGAGAGCCUGAACCAGCCAAGUAGCGUGAAGGAUGAAGGCUCUAUGGGUCGUAAACUUCUUUUAUAUGGGAAUAAAGUUUUCCACGUGUGGAAUUUUGUAUGUACCAUAUGAAUAAGGAUCGGCUAACUCCGUGCCAGCAGCCGCGGUAAUACGGAGGAUCCGAGCGUUAUCCGGAUUUAUUGGGUUUAAAGGGAGCGUAGGUGGAUUGUUAAGUCAGUUGUGAAAGUUUGCGGCUCAACCGUAAAAUUGCAGUUGAAACUGGCAGUCUUGAGUACAGUAGAGGUGGGCGGAAUUCGUGGUGUAGCGGUGAAAUGCUUAGAUAUCACGAAGAACUCCGAUUGCGAAGGCAGCUCACUAGACUGUCACUGACACUGAUGCUCGAAAGUGUGGGUAUCAAACAGGAUUAGAUACCCUGGUAGUCCACACAGUAAACGAUGAAUACUCGCUGUUUGCGAUAUACAGUAAGCGGCCAAGCGAAAGCAUUAAGUAUUCCACCUGGGGAGUACGCCGGCAACGGUGAAACUCAAAGGAAUUGACGGGGGCCCGCACAAGCGGAGGAACAUGUGGUUUAAUUCGAUGAUACGCGAGGAACCUUACCCGGGCUUAAAUUGCAACAGAAUAUAUUGGAAACAGUAUAGCCGUAAGGCUGUUGUGAAGGUGCUGCAUGGUUGUCGUCAGCUCGUGCCGUGAGGUGUCGGCUUAAGUGCCAUAACGAGCGCAACCCUUAUCUUUAGUUACUAACAGGUCAUGCUGAGGACUCUAGAGAGACUGCCGUCGUAAGAUGUGAGGAAGGUGGGGAUGACGUCAAAUCAGCACGGCCCUUACGUCCGGGGCUACACACGUGUUACAAUGGGGGGUACAGAAGGCGGCUACCUGGUGACAGGAUGCUAAUCCCAAAAACCUCUCUCAGUUCGGAUCGAAGUCUGCAACCCGACUUCGUGAAGCUGGAUUCGCUAGUAAUCGCGCAUCAGCCAUGGCGCGGUGAAUACGUUCCCGGGCCUUGUACACACCGCCCGUCGAGCCAUGAAAGCCGGGGGUACCUGAAGUACGUAACCGCAAGGAGCGUCCUAGGGUAAAACUGGUAAUUGGGGC